rnacentral:siRNA from 1 species
GAGUGGUGAGGUGAAGUGGUGA